rnacentral:rRNA from 1 species
UACGUAGGGUGCGAGCGUUGUCCGGAAUUAUUGGGCGUAAAGGGCUCGUAGGCGGUUUGUCGCGUCUGCUGUGAAAACUCGGGGCUUAACUCCGGGCCUGCAGUGGGUACGGGCAGACUAGAGUGCGGUAGGGGAGACUGGAAUUCCUGGUGUAGCGGUGAAAUGCGCAGAUAUCAGGAGGAACACCAGUGCGAAGGCGGCUCUGGGCCGUAACUGACGC